GACGAACGCUGGCGGCGUGCCUAAUACAUGCGAGUCGAGCGGACGGAUGGGAGCUUGCUCCCAGACCGUCAGCGGCGGACAGGUGAGUAACACGUGGGCAACCUGCCUGUAAGACUGGGAUAACUCCGGGAAACCGGGGCUAAUACCGGAUAACUCUUUCCCUCACAUGAGGGAAAGCUGAAAGAUGGCAUCUCGCUAUCACUUACAGAUGGGCCCGCGGCGCAUUAGCUAGUUGGUGAGGUAACGGCUCACCAAGGCGACGAUGCGUAGCCGACCUGAGAGGGUGAUCGGCCACACUGGGACUGAGACACGGCCCAGACUCCUACGGGAGGCAGCAGUAGGGAAUCUUCCGCAAUGGACGAAAGUCUGACGGAGCAACGCCGCGUGAGUGAUGAAGGUUUUCGGAUCGUAAAACUCUGUUGUCAGGGAAGAACAAGUACCGGAGUAACUGCCGGUACCUUGACGGUACCUGACCAGAAAGCCACGGCUAACUACGUG
rnacentral:rRNA from 1 species